AAUAAUAUUUCGUGACUCUAAGAUAUGACGUCACCGUGCGGCGACCGAUCGCUAGUUAUCAAUACUGCACGCAACUGCACGAAUGGAUAAAUUUGUAAUUCGCAAGGUUAAAAAUGUUGAGGAAAUUGUGGACAGUCUGCCUGAAUCAUCAUCAGUGGAUGUACUGCUUCCGUUUGGCUCUACUUAUUUGUGCGAGCAGACCUUUUCCGCUGUUACAUACAAAUACAUACAAAAAUAAAUACAGAUCACGUCUUGAUGUUGAGGAUGAUCUGCGAGGAGCCGUAUCCAACAUCAGGCCACAGAUUACGCUUUUGUGCACCGAAAAACAAGUGCACCCAUCCCACUGAAAGCUCAAACCUGUGACGUUGAGGUACACAAGAUGGCCUUUCGCUGCAGUCCCACUGUUGAGACAUUUGGCAUCACACUGUGAUUACAUAAUGGUUUGGAUCUGUGAUGAGCUUGGGCUCAGUUUCAGGCGCAGCUUCCCCCUCAGCGGGCUUUAUGUACCACCAAUUGUUCACAAUGUCACAAUUCUGUAUCUCAUACUGCACCAAACACUUAAGAGACAAAAAAUGGCCUUCAGUCUUCGUCACCGGUUCACAUGCAGCGCUGGUGCAUCAUUUUAGACAGGCAAUCACAGAUCACGUGGCUAGUGAAAAAAGAGGUAGCAAAGCACUGUUGAAAGUUAAAAGUUGGUAAUUUUACGGAACAAAAACUUUAAAUUGUGUUCGUUUGCC